AUGUUUGUUAACGGAGACGAUUAUAUCGGCCGAUCACAUCGCAAGAGCUCUGCUUUUCGGCCGGCCCUUCCGCUUGCCGGCGACGAGGUACCGGUGGGCCGCGACCAGCUCUUCCCGGAACCGCGCCAGGUCGAGCCGCACGUUCUGCCGGUCCAGGUACACCUUCUUGGUCACGUCCCAGCCGCGCUGCGCCACGCCGGCGGGGUCCGUCAGCACGGGGUGGCCCGCGGGGUACUCGCGGGCCAGGGAGCUCUCCUCCGGCAGGAUCUUGUACCCGACGUACCGCAGGCCGAGGCGCGCCGCCGGCUCGCCGUAGUACUCGUUUGCCGCCCAGUCCGUGCCCAGCGGCACCACCUGGAUGAACACCUUGCCGGGGCGCAUGAACAGGAAGUGCGUCAUGGCGGCGCCGUGCACGCCCACCAUCGCGUCGCUCGCGUUCAGGUCGCGGUAUAUCUUGCACAUCUCCGUGCUCCGCUCCGGCCGGACCACGCGCACGUCGAACCCCACGUCCGCGGCCAGCGCCUUCAGCUCCUCCUCGUUCUCGAUCACGCGGGACCCCGUCCUCGACACGAUCACCAGCUUCGGCCUCUCCGCCGGCGCCGCCAGGUGCUUGUUCGGGAGGGCGAGCUUCGUGGCGGCGGCGCCGCUGGCGCGGCGUUGCUUGCGGGCGGCCUUGCGCUCCAUGCGCUCCAGGUAGUUGAUGCGGGGGCGGUAGGCGUCGUCGAGGAGGCGCCGGAAGUCGCGGAUGCUCCGGCCCUCGGGGGUCUUGGCGGGGUCCACGGUGAGCUCGCCGUGGAUGCGGAGGCCGGCGAUCACCUCGGGGAAGCAGUGCACGCGGCGAUCGGCGGUGAAGUCGAUGGGCGGGAACGCCGACAGCCGGGACACGACGUCGCCGUACUUGGUCAUCCACCAGUCGUGGUACUCGACGAUGACGAACACCACGCGGCGCUGGAGGUGGCCCGCCGUCACGAACAUCGGGAGGAGGCCGUCGUUGAACUCGUGGUACACGUUGCCCGUGAACCCGCCCGUGGAGAGCAGCACGGCCGGCAUGUCGUGCCGCACGUCGCAGCGCGCGGCGUCGCCGGCGGACACGCGGUGGAAGCGCACCUCGUCGAUGGUCUUCAUCACGUGCGCCUCCCACUUGCGCGUGUACGGCCGUAUCCGCUCCUCCUCCUCCACCGCCGGUCGCCCGGCGGAGGACACGAGCUGGAACGACGCGCUCGCCGAGUGCAUGCGCAGGUCGCCGCGCGCGAAGCACAUAUCCGCGCGCCUCGACGAGCGGUCGCAGCACAGGGUGUCGUUGCCGAUCCCGGAGCACCGCUCGCUCUGCUGCUGCUGCGUGGCCGCCGCCGCGCCGCCGGUGCGCGCGAAGGAGAAGAAGGCGCCCGGAGCCGCGAGGAGCGUGGCCAGGCCGAAAAGGCAGAUGAGGAGCAAGCCGAAGAAGCCGCUCAGGCUGAGCGCCCUGCCCUUGGCCGGCUUGCCGUUCUUGCCGGCGGCGCCUCCGGUGCCGUAGUCAUGGUAGUAGUACAUGAUCCGGCGGCCGCCGCCCUUGGGCGGCGAGGCCUUGCAUGA
rnacentral:rRNA from 1 species